UACGUAGGCAGCGAGCGUUGUUCGGAAUUACUGGGCGUAAAGGGUGUGUAGGCGGUUGGAUAAGUGUGGUGUGAAAUCUCCCGGCUCAACUGGGAGGGUGCGCUACAAACUGUCUGACUAGAGUGUGGGAUGGGUAAGUGGAAUUCCUGGUGUAGCGGUGAAAUGCGUAGAUAUCAAGAGGAACACCUGCGGCGAAGGCGGGUUGCUGGGCCGACACUGACGCUGAUGCGCGAAAGCCAGGGGAGCGAACGGG
rnacentral:rRNA from 1 species